UGUUAGUUGUCCAGUGGCUUUACCUG
rnacentral:piRNA from 1 species